rnacentral:rRNA from 1 species
CCUACGGGAGGCAGCAGUCGAGAAUCAUUCACAAUGGGGGAAACCCUGAUGGUGCGACGCCGCGUGGGGGAAUGAAGGUCUUCGGAUUGUAAACCCCUGUCAUGUGGGAGCAAAUUAAAAAGAUAGUACCACAAGAGGAAGAGACGGCUAACUCUGUGCCAGCAGCCGCGGUAAUACAGAGGUCUCAAGCGUUGUUCGGAAUCACUGGGCGUAAGGCGUGCGUAGGCUGUUUCGUAAGUCGUGUGUGAAAGGCGCGGGCUCAACCCGCGGACGGAACAUGAUACUGCGAGACUAGAGUAAUGGAGGGGGAACCGGAAUUCUCGGUGUAGCAGUGAAAUGCGUAGAUAUCGAGAGGAACACUCGUGGCGAAGGCGGGUUCCUGGACAUUAACUGACGCUGAGGCACGAAGGCCAGGGGAGCGAAAGGGAUUAGAUACCCCUGUAGUC